rnacentral:lncRNA from 10 species
UACCUUCUCUAUGGUAAAAGCCUCUCCUGAUUUAGCCCUUCCUCCUCCCAGAUGAAAAGUGAAAGAAACGUCCAUAAAAUGGAGACUUCGGCCAGGCGCAGUGGCUCACGCCUGUAAUCCCAGCACUUUGGGAGGUCGAGGCGGGCAUCCCAGCACUGUGGGAGGUCGAGGCGGGCGGAUCACUAGGUCAGGAGAUCGAGACCAUCCUGGCUAACACGGUGAAACCCCGUCUCUACUAAAAAUACAAAAAAAGUAGCCGGGGGUGGUGGCGGGCGCCUGUAAUCCCAGCUACUCUAGAGGCUGAGGAGGAAGAAUGGCGUGAACCCAGGAGGCGGAGCUUGCAGCGAGCCGAGAUGGCGCCAUUGCACUGCAGCCUGGGCGACAGAGGGAGACUCUGUCUCAAAAAAAAACAAAAAACGGAGACUUCUUCCACCAGUUUAACUUUAUCUAACUACUGAACCCA